rnacentral:rRNA from 1 species
UACAGAGGGUGCAAGCGUUAAUCGGAAUUACUGGGCGUAAAGCGUGCGUAGACGGUUAUUUAAGUCAGGUGUGAAAGCCCCGGGCUCAACCUGGGAAUUGCAUUUGAGACUGAAUAGCUAGGGUGCGGAAGAGGGAAGCGGAAUUUCCGGUGUAGCGGUGAAAUGCGUAGAUAUUCGCAAGAACACCAGUGGCGAAGGCGGCUCACUGGCCCGAUACUGACGCUGAGGCACGAAAGCGUGGGGAGCAAACAGG